GGCACGCGACAAGUUGUCUCUCCAUGCCCCUGGUUGAAGAUUCUAAAGAAAAGAAAACGAUCACUUUUUUGGAAACGUGUACGUGACUGGCUGACUGCAUGAUAAACUGGGCAACAAAACAAAUUUCUAACUUGUGGUCGUCUUGUGAAUUCCAUGCUGUUUGACAGAUUUGAGACCUGAGCCACCCAUCGAAACUACAAGUUGUGCAAGUUUAGCUUCUGCUACUAUUGACCUGUCAUCAGCAAUAACUAUCCCGGCAUUAUCAUCUUUGAUAAACAGAACCCCAAUUGGAGACUGUUGCCCGAGUUACGGAUUUUUUUUUUCUCCUUUUCUUUGAAUUGUCCUCGUGUACAUCCAUGUGAGUGUGGGUGUAUUCACGAGGACGCCCUUUUUACCUAUUCCGGUUGGUGGAUUCAACUUUUUCUGCGGAUGGAUGGAGCAUUCGUGGAUACCUGGCUGCAUAUUGUCCCAGGCUUAAAGCUAAAUGAAUUGAGUGACUGCAAAUGAAUGAGUAUGGAAAGCUCUGUUAACCAGGUACACAACUGAAGAAAAAGUCACUGAAGAAUACCCCAUCAAUGCCAAUUUUGUUUGUCGACAAGCUGUACCUGGAGAGUCAAGACUAAGCUCUUGUCCCUAUUUCAUGUUCUGUAUGGCCUGCAUAACUGCCGGGAAUCCUGGGUGAACCAGAUGAGUCUAUUCAUUUUUUUUUUAAAUUUAGAUUGGGCAAGAAGGAAAAUUCAACUUUCAGCAGCCAUGAAGAAAACAAACCUGAACCUGAUGUGAACAUUCCGUGCCAGCCACAUCUACCCAUCUAAACUGCCACAAUGUUUUAACGGAAAAAGCAAGAAUUCCAGAAAAGUAUUGGUCUGCUGUAAUGGAAGAUGUAGUUCCUUGCCAAGAUGGAAUUUUUUAAAACUUUAUCAAGAGCUAUUCAAUCUGAGGCAAAUGGCUUCCACGAUACAGUUGACAAGCAACAACCAGUCCUGUUUGGAAUUUGACGAAGAAGUUUGGUCGUCACUCGUCAAAGUUGAGAAAGAAGAAGACUGGAGCCUGAUAAGAACCUGUCUGUUGAUGCAAUUAAAACAAAGACAGACAAAAUGGAAACUGAAGAAAUGUUAAAGAAGAGUGGCGUUGAUACGGUAACGAUUUUAUGUAAUGGUCACACAAGAACAAUUACCGCAACACCAACUGCAAACUGGACUUAGAAUGAAAGUAAUUAUGCUGACCAUCUUUCUAACCUGAAUGCUACAGAUAUUGUUAGUUGAUGACCAGUUCUUUGCUCAUCUGUUUUAGAAAUUUCAGUCUAGUUUACAUGGGGAAAACUUGCCAACUGUAAUUCCUUUAAAAAUAGGAUUAACAGCCUGGUGAAGUCUGAGCUUUCCUUGCUGUCCGUUGGUUUUCUUGCAGUUGGAUGGUGAAACGUAUUAUAAAAUCAAAUUGAUGUGUUUCAUGCAGUCUUUCUUGCUGGUGUAAUCCUGUGAAGAAGUCCCGAAGUAUGUUAACUGUUAUUGAUUCGUAAAAUUUGUAAAAUGAUUACUCGAACGGAAACUUGGAA